rnacentral:misc_RNA from 1 species
AAUUCUGUCAAAACAUGCACUUGAGUGUGUUUUGGAUUGUGGGAGUGUCUGCUGGCUUUUUAUAUAUGAGCCAGCUCUCCUGAAAAACCUUAGCUUUGGGGGAGGAGGUGCAAGUCACUUCUGCCUUUCCAUUGGUGUGAUAGAUGAAUUAACUUAUCUACGCCAGGAAAAGCAGGCUGCAGGUGAAGCACUGUGAUCUCUCUGCUUUCUAAUUGACAUUUGUCUGACA